GAGCGUCUCUAGCUAUGUUGAGACGCGGCAUACGGCUCAGUAACACGUGGCUAACCUACCCUCAGGACGGGGACAAACCCGGGAAACUGGGGCUAAUAUCCGAUAGGCGAGGAAUCCUGGAAUGGGUCCUCACCCAAAGGACAUUGGAAACAUGCUUUCUCUGUCGCCUGGGGAAGGGGCCGCGACCGAUCAGGUUGUUGGUGAGGUAAUGGCUCACCAAGCCUUUAACCGGUACGGGCCGUGAGAGCGGUAGCCCGGAGAUGGGUACUGAGACAAGGACCCAGGCCCUACGGGGCGCAGCAGUCGCGAAAACUCCGCAAUGCACGAAAGUGUGACGGGGCUACCCCGAGUGCCAUCCGCUGAGGAUGGCUUUUCCUUGGUGUAACUAGCCGGGGGAAUAAGGAGAGGGCAAGACUGGUGUCAGCCGCCGCGGUAAUACCAGCUCUCCGAGUGGUAGGGAUGAUUAUUGGGCUUAAAGCGUCCGUAGCCGGCUUAGCAAGUUUCCUGUUAAAUUCAGCGACCUAAUCGUUGAGCCGCGGGAAAUACUACUAGGCUAGGAGGCGGGAGAGGUCGACGGUACUUCUGGGGUAGGGGUGAAAUCCUAUAAUC
rnacentral:rRNA from 1 species